rnacentral:rRNA from 1 species
AGCGAACGCUGGCGGCAGGCCUAACACAUGCCAGUCGAACGAGCUCUUCGGAGUUAGUGGCGGACGGGUGAGUAACACGUGGGAACGUGCCUUUUGGUUCGGAAUAACUCAGGGAAACUUGUGCUAAUACCGAAUGUGCCCUUCGGGGGAAAGAUUUAUCGCCAUUAGAGCGGCCCGCGUCUGAUUAGCUAGUUGGUGAGGUAACGGCUCACCAAGGCGACGAUCAGUAGCUGGUCUGAGAGGAUGACCAGCCACACUGGGACUGAGACACGGCCCAGACUCCUACGGGAGGCAGCAGUGGGGAAUCUUGCGCAAUGGGCGAAAGCCUGACGCAGCCAUGCCGCGUGAAUGAUGAAGGUCUUAGGAUUGUAAAAUUCUUUCACCGGGGACGAUAAUGACGGUACCCGGAGAAGAAGCCCCGGCUAACUUCGUG